UUCUUAUCAAGAGAGGUUGAGGGACUGGCCCUAUGACACCUCGGCAGCGGACAUGAUUGUCUGUGCCAAAUCCAGCAAGCGAUGCUUGAUAGAUGAGAA
rfam:Bacillus sp. B-jedd genome assembly, contig: CONTIG000001